CCUACGGGUGGCAGCAGUGAGGAAUAUUGGUCAAUGGCCGUAAGGCUGAACCAGCCAAGUAGCGUGAGGGAAGACUGCCCUAUGGGUUGUAAACCUCUUUUAUGCGGGGAUAAAGGUGUCCACGUGUGGAUGUUUGCAGGUACCGCAUGAAUAAGGACCGGCGAAUUCCGGGCCAGCCGCCGCGGUAAUACGGAAGGUCUGGGCUGUAUCCGGAUUUAUUGGGUUUAAAGGGAGCGUAGGCCGGUCUUUAAGCGUGCCGUGAAAUUUCGUGGCUCAACCAUGAGAGUGCGGCGCGAACUGGAGACCUUGAGUGCGCGGAAGGCAGGCGGAAUUCGCAGUGUAGCGGUGAAAUGCUUAGAUAUCGCGAAGAACCCCGAUUGCGAAGGCAGCCUGCCGCAGCGUUACUGACGCUGAGGCUCGAAAGCGCGGGUAUCGAACAGGAUUAGAUACCCGUGUAGUC
rnacentral:rRNA from 1 species